rnacentral:rRNA from 1 species
ACAUCCAGAGAAUUUAGCAGAGAUGCUUUAGUGCCUUCGGGAACUCUGAGACAGGUGCUGCAUGGCUGUCGUCAGCUCGUGUUGUGAAAUGUUGGGUUAAGUCCCGCAACGAGCGCAACCCUUAUCCUUUGUUGCCAGCACGUAAUGGUGGGAACUCAAAGGAGACUGCCGGUGAUAAACCGGAGGAAGGUGGGGAUGACGUCAAGUCAUCAUGGCCCUUACGAGUAGGGCUACACACGUGCUACAAUGGCGCAUACAAAGAGAAGCGACCUCGCGAGAGCAAGCGGACCUCAUAAAGUGCGUCGUAGUCCGGAUUGGAGUCUGCAACUCGACUCCAUGAAGUCGGAAUCGCUAGUAAUCGUAAAUCAGAAUGUUACGGUGAAUACGUUCCCGGGCCUUGUACACACCGCCCGUCACGCCAUGGGAGUGGGUUGCAAAAGAAGUAGAUAGCUUAACCUUCGGGAGGGCGUUUACCACUUUGUGAUUCAUGACUGGGGUGAAGUCGUAACAAGGUAGGCGUAGUGCU